UCAAUUGAAACCAAAGUAAGAGGUAUAUUAUUGUUAAUAAUAAAAUUGAAUUAAAAGAUUCCAAUUGAA
rnacentral:tRNA from 1 species